rnacentral:rRNA from 1 species
ACGGGUGCGGAACACGUACGCAACCUUCCUUUAAGAGAUGAAUAGCCCGGAGAAAUCCGGAUUAAUGCAUCGUAAGAUUGUGGGAUGGCAUCAUCCAGCAAUUAAAGAUUUAUUUCGCUUAAAGAUGGGCGUGCGCCUGAUUAGGUAGUUGGUGAGGUAACGGCUCACCAAGCCGACGAUCAGUAACUGGCGUGAGAGCGCGACCAGUCACACGGGCACUGAGACACGGGCCCGACUCCUACGGGAGGCAGCAGUAAGGAAUAUUGGUCAAUGGACGCAAGUCUGAACCAGCCAUGCCGCGUGAAGGAUGAAAGCCCUCUGGGUUGUAAACUUCUUUUAUCUGGGAAGAAACCACCUUUUUCUAAGGGUGUUGACGGUACCAGAGGAAUAAGCACCGGCUAACUCCGUGCCAGCAGCCGCGGUAAUACGGAGGGUGCAAGCGUUAUCCGGAUUCACUGGGUUUAAAGGGUGCGUAGGCGGAUUAGUAAGUCCGUGGUGAAAUCUCCAAGCUUAACUUGGAAACUGCCAUGGAUACUAUUAGUCUUGAAUGUUGUGGAGGUUAGCGGAAUAUGUCAUGUAGCGG